rnacentral:piRNA from 1 species
UGCCUGUCAUUUGUUGGCCAUGGUUUCCUCU